UAGUAAUAAUAAAUCGUUAAUAAAUGAAACAUGAAAGUAGUACAUACCACACGUCUUUGAGAACUUGGUCGUGUUGCAUGAGAAAGAAAGAAAUCAUGGAGGCACCAUCUUCAUCUUUAUUAUUAUUUUCGACAAAGUAUUUAGCUAAAGGGUGAACACCAUACAAUCUUUCUUCAUUACAAUUUCCAUCAACUUCUUCAACGGAGCAUGUAAGAAUUUUGUAGCUAGCCAAAAGACGCAACAAUCUAUCCAACAUAGAAGGUGCAUCUGGAUUUUUUAUACCAGGAAUUUGAGAAGCAAUUUGAGAAGAUGAAAGGUAUGCAUUAGGACCAGCUUUGCUAUAACUUCAAUGAUGCCAAGUUCCAAAACUGUUUUUAGAACCAUUGGAACAGAAGAAGCAAAUGAUAGUUCCAUAGCAAAAAGAAGCUUCUUCAUCUGAUACUUUCUCCAUUUUCUCAAUUACUCCUAUAUGCAUAUGAUAUAUACUGUGAUGAUGUGCUUUCCUCUACUUUUUAAUAUAUAUAUAUAUAUAUUUAUAAUUAUAUUAUUAUAUAUAUAUAUAUAUAUAUAUAUAUAUAUAUAUUAUAUUAUAAUAUCACAUACUUGAUAUGGCUACUCCUAUUCAAUUCAAAUUCACUGCUAUCUAUUACUAUCAAUUAUAUAUAUAUAUAUAUAUAAUAUAUAUAUAUAUAUAUAUUAGAUAUAGAUAUAUAUCACAUACUUGAUAUGGCUACUCCUUAUUCAAUUCUAUCACUACUGCUAUCUAUUACUAUCAUAUAUAUAUAAUAUAUAUAUAUAUAUAUAUAUAUAUAAUAUUAUAUAUAGAUAUAAAAUCAUUAAUCACUACUUGAUAUGGCUACUCCUAUCAAUUCAAUUCACUGCUAUCUAUUACUAUCAUAUAUAAUAUAUAUAUAUUUAUAUAUAUAUUAUAUAUAUAUAUAUAUAUUACUUAUAUAUUAUAUAUAUAUAUGAUAUAGAUAUAUAGAUAUAGAUAUAUAUCACAUACUUGAUAUGGCUACUCCUAUCAAUUCAAUUCACUGCUAUCUAUUACUAUUAGAACCUACUUAUUUAAUUCAUAGCACUCAACCACUUUUUUCCAUUUACUUUUAGGAGCAUGGCAGUUGGAUGAAUGAUUAAUACCAUGGCAGUUGGUCAUAUGACAUGGUAACAACUUGCAUAGGAUGUUACAAUAUUUACAAAUGACAAUUUGUCAAUAUAUCAUCAUUUCUAAAUUUCUAACCGGAAGAAAUUUUAAUAAUAAUACUCUUUCAAGAAUUCAAAACAAAAUUAGAAUCAAAUAUAUACUCCAUCAUCCUCAUAAAAAAUCUUUUAUUUGAAUAAUAUGUUAUUUUUAAAAAAAUAUUAAUUGUGUUGAUUUUAAUGAUAAAAUUGAUAUUAUUUAUUAAAAUAUUUUUACUAAUGAUAAUUAAUAAAAUAGUUGAAUAAAGUAAAAAUUAAUUACAUAUAGAGAGAGAGAGAGAGUAAUGGAAACAUAAAUAGACAUUUUAACAGAAAAAAAAUGUAAAUAAGACAAUUAACUAAAAUAAUAAUUAUUGCUAUUACAAGUAAGAAAUAAAGGGUAAGAGUAGCUUGAUGAAUUCAUGAUAAGAUUAAUCAAAGAAGUGAGAUGUGACUUAUCUAUAUCUGUGACAAGAAAAUCACACCGUUGCUACAUAUGAAAUCAGAUAUUCAAGUAACAUAUUAGUAUUAUUUUAUUUUUUAAGAAGGUGGUCCAAGACCACCAUAAAAUAUAUUAGAAAAAAAAUAUAGAUGCAGAAAUAAAAAUAAGGGGAUCAAACCAAAAUCUUUAAGUGUCAAACUCUAUAGGAAGCAAGAUUUAUGGAAUUCUUAGAAAAUCCAUAAGAAUGUAUACAUGAACUUCAUCCCAUCAAGUAAAAUCAUGUACAUGUAAAUCUAUGUUAGCAAGUUUCUCCGUGCAAUUAUUACCUUCCCUAAAGAUAUGAGUUACCAAAAAAUGAAUGGACUUAAUAUGAUGCAAAAUAUUUUGUCACUUGUUUUGAAGUCUCCACAAAACCAUAGAAGGUUUUUCGAACGCAAGAAUAACCAACUUCGAGUCAGUUUCUAAUCAAAGAUGAUUCUAGUUUUUCUAUUUCACAAUCUCAAUAGCCAUCAUAUCAGCCAUAAGUUAUGCCAUGAGGGAAUUCCCUACCCCAAUAUUCAUUGAGAAGCUACCAAGAUGAUUACCACUAUGAUCCCUGUAAAUAUCACCACAGGAAGCAACAUCCAAAACUCCCACAGAGGCACCAUCAGUAUUACAUUUCACUCAGUUCAGAAUAUGAGGGUGCCAUAUAAACUAUUUAACUAUACAAGACUUAGGAGGAUUCAACUUCACAUUGAAGUCAUUACGAAUAUUGAAAUCCAACAUAGAGAUAGAACCAGUUUUGAGAGAAGCAUUACCAGCGCGAGAGAAACCUCCGCAAUAAUGGAAUUGAAUGUCGUCUUCCAAUGAGUUCUGAUGUUGUUAAACCUGAGUAUGUUCCUAGCUUGCCAAAUAACAAUAAAAAUAUUUAUAAUAACUGCCAACACAACCAACUUGCCCUGAGCUUAAAAAUGGUCGUUCAACGCCGCCUACCAAUUAUCAAUGGUCCGGAUAUCAUGAGACAAGAUAGAAAAAUAUAUGAUCAGAACUCUCUAUGUGAACUGAUUCGCUGUCGCACGCGGAUCAAAACGAAUAGUUUUUCAAAAAUGUAGUUUAACGAUAAAUUGACUCAAAUAUCGUUCUCAAGGAUUCUUGUUUAAUUAAUCUACCGAUAGAAAAAAAAGGGCGGGGGNGGGGGGGGUUGGUUUAGAUUCGAAAAAGUGAUUUUUAAAAGUGAUUAUAAAAUAAGCUGACACGAACCAACCUACUGCAUCAUCUUCCGACUUAUCAUUGAUUCUUAUAAAACUCCAAAUCCCUAACGGGUCUGCUCCUAUUCGAUUACAAUUACCAUUAACAAGCGUAAAGGAAAUUAUGCGAGUAAUAUUCUCAAAUUCUGAAUUAAGCAAACGGAUUAAAAACUAUUGCGAAUUAAGCAGACGCAACUUGAUCGUUCGUGAUAAAAUAAAAGCUAUGUUAACACGAAAUUGAUUCGUGAGCUCGUUUUUUUCGAGAUGCGACACAUAUCACACUCUAUCUAGAAAAAAAAUGUUUUUUGAGUGUAUGUAUGGUUACAAAGUUUCCAGUGAUACUCAUCAAAUACCAAGAAUCUUGUAUCAAUGAAAUAUAUCAAGUUAAAUGACUUAUAAUCUAAUGAUUGUCAUGUAUUGAUGCAAUAACUCCACUAGUAACUAUCCGUGACAUCUUAACAAAAAAAAUGUAAGGAUAACUAUAACCAGAUUGUACUUAUUCUUUAAUAUUAUAUGUAAUGAAGUAUUUGAUCCCAAAAAAUAGAUGAGUUGGAAUAUGAUGUUACAAUAAUAUCAUGUCAAUUGGAGAUAUAUUUCCCUCCAUCAUAUUUUGACAUUAUAGUUCACUUAAUUAUUCAUCUAGUUAUGGAAAUCAGAUUUUGUGGUCCCGUUUAUUUAAGAUGGAUAUAUCCAAUAGAGAGAUACAUGAAGAUCUUUAAAGGGUAUAUGAAGAAUCAUCAUUGUCCAGAAGUUUCAAUCACUGAACGAUACAUCAUAGAAGAAGCUGUUGAGUUAUGUUCAAACUAUUUAUUAAAAAUAGACUCUAUAGAAAUUUCAAAGUCUCGUCAUGAUGGAAAAUAUGAAGGCAGAAGUACUCAGUGUUUAAAUGUUAAGUCAAUGGAAAAAUAUGUAGUUCUUCAAGAACAUUUGUAUAUUUAAUAAUUUUGAUGAAGUUCAACCUUCCUCAUCUUCUCACAAAAGACUUAUAAAGGAAAAAAUUUCUCAAAUGAGUGACAAGUGGUUACUGAAAGAGCAUAACAAGAGUUUUAUAAAUUGGUUCAGUAAAAGAAUUUCUAAUGAUGGAAGUGCAUUUGAGACAAUUAAAUGGAUGUUAUACAUGCCUAAAUUUAAUGUAGUAACAGACUUCAUACGACAUUAGUAAACUUUUAUUUUAUACAAAAUCAAAGGAUGAUUAUAAUGCAAUGCAAAAUAGUGGAGUUAUGGUUGAGGUUGAAUUAAUGUACUUCUCUAGUUUCAAAGUUGAUAAUCCUAUAAUGACAUCUAAACCGUGCUUUGGGGUCAUUUAGGAGAUUUGAGAGAUUGAUUAUGUUCUAUUCAAAGUGCCUUUGUUUAAACGCAAGUGGAUUGACAGUAACACCGGUGUAAAAAGUGACGAGUUAAGAUUCACAUGGGUUGAUCUUCGUAAGACAGUUUAUACGAAGGAACCAUUCAUCAUGGCAUCCCAAGUAAAACAAGUAUUUUAUGUCACUGAAAUUUCUGACAAAAGAUGGUCAACUAUUCUCCAAGGAAAAUACAUUCCUCAUAGUGAUAAAAAUCAAGAUUUAAAUUUUGAUAUUUCUGAUACCCCUUCUUUCGCAACACAUGUACCUCUUCAUAUGAAGAAAUUGAUACAUAUGAAGUACAUGUUAUUCGUUAUGGUAAUGAUCAUAAUAAUUGUCAUUUUGGUUUUGAUUCUAUAUGUUAUGUUGUUGUGUUUCUAUAUAUCUGUUUUUAUUCAUAAAAAUAUAGGUUAUAAUGAGAUUUAUGUAAAAUAAAAAAAAAUAUUUUAAAAAUAAUAUAUUUCACCACAGUUUUUUCUUCCACAGUAGAGAAGCAUCUAAAAAGCACCAUUUAAAAAAAUGUAAAAAUUAUGAUGUUGGGUAUCGAACAUGACCUUUCCAUAUUUCACUACGGUUGGGUAAUCCAACUGUCGUGUAAAGUGGUUUGCUAUCAGUAGAGAAGCAUCUAAAAAGCACCAUUUAAAAAAAUGUAAAAAUUAUGAUGUUGGGUAUCGAACAUGACCUUUCCAUAUUUCACUACGGUUGGGUAAUCCAACUGUCGUGUAAAGUGGUUUGCUAUCUAGUUUUUUUUUACCACGGUUAAUGCUGGAAAUUAAUUCACUUUCUAUGACACCCUUCGUUAUCAUAGACCAUCAACCAUUGUGAAAUCAUUAUUAGUAUUGAUCUAAUCUUGCUCUGAGAUAGCAUCUUCAACUACAAGCAAGGAGUUCACAUUAGCUUUGAUCCUAAGAACAUACUCAGUAAUGGGUCUAAUUGCCUUUCUUCAUCACUUUCAACUCAAUUCUAAAUUGUCUAACUUACGCCUUUAUAUGAGCAUUAAAGUAUCUGUCAAUUUUGUUCCAUACAUCAAAUAUAUACUUGCAUGACAAGAAUCUAGCUAGCAUUGAUUCUGAAAUUACAGAAAGAAACCAUAUGAACACAACUUCAUCCUGCAUUAUCCAAGACUUGUACUUCUUAGAGCUUUUACUUCGACUUUCUUUGUUUUCUCUUUUCCACCAGAGGUAUAAGACAACAUGGUAACAUCCAUUUGAAACACAGAUUUUGAGGAUAAGUUUGAGUUUGGAAUUACUGGAACUAUGGAUUCAACUACUAUCACCUUUCCAAUGACCGGAAGUGAAUCAUAACAAUUCUUCAAAAUUUUCAAACAUUGCUCUUCAUUCCAAUCAUGACAAAUCGACUGUAUUCCAAACAUAUUUUUAGUUUUUUUCUUCUCAAGAUACUUAUAUCUUAGAAACAUGAUAGAAAACAAAAUAACAAGCUUCAAAAUAAUAAGAUCAUCACCUUCAUGAAAAUGGCAUCAGCUUUUGGAACACUCACAAACAUGUCUCCACCAACAUGCUCCACACCUUCAUUAAACACCCAUCACUUAUUAACAAUAAUACAGACAUGAAUUCAAAUGCUAAAGAGAAAAAAUAUUGUUGGUGAAUUUCCAAAAAUCUCAUUAACUCUGUACUUUUAUAAAAAGUUUCAUAAUAUUUUUUUAUUAUAUAAUUAUUAUCAUUUUUUUAAUAUAUAUAAAAAGUUUAAAAAAUUUAUAUUAAAAACAAAAGGGAAUAUAAUAUAUAAUUAAAAUAUAAUAGAUUGUUUAUAUCGGUAAGAGUAUAAUUGGUUAAUAUGGUGUAAAAAUAUUAUAAUAUAUAUAAAAUAGUAUAAUAUUUAAAUAAAAUUUCAAUUAUACGUAAAAUUAUUGGGAAAAAUCCAAAUUUCACAUUUGAUUUAAAGUCGAUUUCGAAGGGAUGAGUUAGGGUAAAAUUCUAAUUCUAUAAGAAAUUAUAAAAUGACGACGUAUAUUAAUUAAUUAAUUUUUAAUAUUAUUUAUACUGUCUCCACAGUAAAAUAUAAUUGAAUAUGGUUGUAUGAUUUAUGUCAAUAUUUUCAAAGUAUUCUUAAUGGAAUUCGCAAAUUUACUCAUUUUGCAUCCAAUAUAUGCAAGUUAGAGGAGAAGAACUGAACCUAAAACUUUUUAUUACCUUACCUUUUUCAUAUAUUUUCUAAACACCUAGUGCUUGCAAUCAUGAUUUUAAAUUGCAGUCUGCGACUGUAAUAUUGUUGAUUCAGAAGCUUCAAGUAGUUUCCGCAAUUGCAUGUUUGGACCAUUAUUAGAAAUCACAUCAGAAACUUUAUUCAUGUUUCUCUAAAUAUUUUUGUUAAAACUCAAAAUUUCAGAAUUCAAAAUUCAAUUUUCUUCCUAUAUAAUAAAAUAUCUUAACAUCAAUAAUUUUUAACGAUGUAUUUCAAAUAUCUUUUAAUAAAAACUUCACACAUGUGCUUUUCAAUAACCACAAUCACAAUAUUUACAACUGCUAUUGUAAUCACAUUUUAAAAUCAUUCUUGCAAUUUUAAGGAUGAAAGAUAGACUCAAAUUUGUUUGGUCAACACUAUGAAUGUAUAACCUUCAUCUAUAUUUUCAAAUAAAGACGAACCUGGAUGAGAAGGAGCUUCAUUGAUAACAUGUGGCAAGUCAAAGUUAAUGGCUUUAAUGUUGGGAUACUUAGAGACAAUCAUAUUAGCAAUAGUUCCAAUCCCACCACCAACAUCAACAAUAGAUCCAAGACCCUCAAAACCUGAAUAUGUCACCAGAAUAUUUUUCAUUAUGAUGCAAGAGCGAUCAGACAUGGCAUUAUUGAAAAGCUUGUUGAUCCUUGGAUUUAUGCCAUGAAACUCAAAAGUAUUCAUUCCAAAAGUGUUGUUAAAUGGAAUUCCACCCUCUUUAAUUGAAUUUGUUAAGUGGUACCUACAAUUACAAAAAUAUAAUAUAAAAAGAUCUAUGUUAAAAGGAUACAUUACGGGAGAUAUAUGUUUUAAGUAGGGGUGGCAAACGGGCAUACCCGCCCCGUUUAGGCCCGCCCCGCAAAAACCCGCAAAAAAACGGGGCAGGGCGGGGCGGUCAUAGUUGAGGAUGCGGGCCUAAAACUUAGACCCGCCCCGCAAAAAAGUGAGGGCGGGGCGGGGAAAGCCCGCGGGCACUGCACUCUUUAAGCCUAAAAACGCAAAAAUUUAUGUAAAUACACGUGCCCGCAAAAGCCCGCGAAAAAAACGGGGCGGGGCGGGGCAGACACAUUUGAGGGUGGGGACCUAAAUCCUUGGCCCUCCCCGCACAAAAGUGCGGGCAAAACGGGCAUGCCCCGCGGGCCGAGCCCGUUUUGCCACCCCUAGUUUUAAGUCACUUUUAAAAAAUAGUUUUAUAGUUAUUAAAAAUUAAGUACUUCAACAUAAUUUGUUAAUAUGUGAUAUCUUUGUCUAAAAUCAUAAUUUUUUAGUGAAUAAUUUUUUGCAACUAAGAAUGUGUUAGCUCGAGAGACUAAGGAAAUGAGGUGGACUCCUCCUUCGAGUUAGGUGAGACUAAACACAGAUGGAGUUAGUACGAAUGACUUGAAAGCUGGAUGUGGUAGUCUUGUAAGAGAUUGUACGCUUGAAUAGCUUGGAGGCUUCGAGAAAUAUUUAGGUUCUUGUCGUGCAUAUAGUGAUGAACUUUGGGGUGUGCUAGAAAGAUUAAGAUUGAGAAAAGAGCUUGAGUUUCGAACUAUUGAGCUUCACAUAUAUUCCAAAGUAGUUGUUCAAAAUAUUUUAGAUUCUGAACAGGAUAGUAUAAUUGAAAUGCAAUUGGUACAACAAAUUUAAUAGUUGUUCAAACUAGGUUGGGAGGUGCGUGUUUGUCAUAUUUAUUAUGAGUCGAAUACUUGUGUAAAUACAUUUGUCAACAUGAGGUGUGAUCUAGGACUUAAUUUGAUGAUUUAUGAGCAAUUUUCUGUUUAAAUUUUUCAUACAUUCUUAACUGAUUGUAUUGGAGUCUUCAUUGUUAUGUUAAUUGUUGUGUAAUUUUUUUCUUUGAGUUUCAACCCUCUUUCUCUCAAAAUAAAAAAAAUAGAUGUUAUUAUUAAAUUAACAUUUUAUUAUUAGAGUUUGAUUUAUUUUAAAUAUACCAAUUUGUAAAGGAAAAGAUGUGACUCAAUUUUUAACUUUAAUUUUAGGACUUAAGUAUUCAAAAAGAGACCUAUUUUUUAUACAAUACACUUGGAUUAACACAUUAUAGACUAAUUUGUUCUCUAGAAUCUAGAAGAAUGAUGAAUGUGGGUUCUAGAAAUUUUAAGUUGUGGAGGCGUCGUAUUAAUUUAUGAAUUUAUAGCAUAAAAUAUUUAUCUUUUAUUUUUUUAAAACAAAAAUAUAUAUCGUAUUUAUUUUUUAUGAGAUAUACUUUUUAUAAUAUUUAAUAAUUUUAUCGAUUUUUAAUUUCUAUAAUUAUCACAAUUUUUUUAUAAUGUCUCUGUGUGGAACAUAUGAUCAAAUUAAAGAAUAUUUUAGAGUGUCUCGUCAUAAACACAACUAUAUCACUAAACUUGAAAUUACUUACAACAUUAUACAUAUCAAAUUCAUCACUUCUAAACAUCUAGAGUAUCAUAUCAAUGGCUGACACAUGAAUGUAGGGUCAGUCAUAAAUUAUGUUUUCAUUUGGCAUUCUAGACUAUGUCAAGCUAAUGACAGAGUUAUUCAUUAAAACUAUGUCAAGCUCCAUGACAAGUUUUCACUGAAUCAACACCCUAAGUAUUUUCUUGGCAUUCAGGUGCAUUAUCAAUCAAAUGGCUAUGGAUUGAAUCACUCUUAACUGAGUUGCACGCCAACUUAAUUUCUUACACCAACUUUGAUGCGCGACAAUUUCAAUGCAGUCAUGUUGUCUCACAAUCCCAUAUUACAUGCUAGGAAAAAAUACAUAGAACUUAAAUCCACUUUAUUUGUGAGAGGGUUGUUACUAGCAUGUUUAAUAUUCAGCAUGCACCAAGAAUUUGUGGGAGAGUUUUAGAGAUAAUUAUUAGAGAUAAGGUUUAUCAUAACCACUUUUAUAAUCUAUUAUUUAAGCUGUUAUUUCUUUUUCCAUUUUAUCUCUUAUAUUAGUUAGUUUGUUAUUAUUUCUUAGAUCCAAUAGCUUAUAUAAACAACCAAUUGUAACCUUUAUUUAUGAGUAAUAUAGAUGAAUAAAUCUCUAUAGUUAAUCUUCAAUAUGGCAUCAGAGCACGAAGAUUCUGAUGAUGAUCAAUCUGAGCAAGAACCUCAAUCCACCAUCAUCCUACCCAACCCUACAUACACUCUAAAUAAUUCGGAUAACCCAGGAACCCCUCUUGUUUCUUCAACCUUGAAUGACAAUAAUUACCGUACAUGGCUUCGAACCAUGAAAACUGCUCGGUUUCGUUGAUGGUUCUAUCAAGAAACCUACCUGUAAUUCUGCAGAUUUUUUCAGUUGGGAGAAAGCAGAUUACAUGAUCAUGGCAUGGAUUAUCAAUGCGAUCGAUCCAAAUCUGCAUGGAAGCAUCUCACACGCAUCAACUGCCUGCGAAAUUUGGAUUGAUCUUGAAGAAAGAUUUGCCCAGAUCAACGCACCACACAUUCAUCAGUUAUGGCGCACCAUAUGGCUUCUGCAGAAAGAUUCUGACAUGAGUAUAACAAAAUAUUACACCAAAUUCAAGAGCCUUUUCGAUGAACUUGAUGAACUCCAACCAAUAUCGGAGUGCAACUGUGGAGCCUCCAAACCUUUAACCAAAAGAGACGAUGAACAAUGUGUGCAUCUAUUUCUUGGUGGUCUUGUCAACGAUCAAUUUGUUCAAAUCAAUGGCAUCAUCCUCAACUCCGAUCCUCUCCCACCGUUGCGAUGCGUUUUCAAUAUUAUACAACGAUAGGAAUCACGGUUAACAACUGAUACAACAAGAAGCGUUAACACCAAUACAGAUUCAUCUUUUCACUCUUCCAAACAUGACAAAUCAAAAUGGCGCGAAUACCCGAAAGUCAAGUGUGAUCAUUAUGGUAAAAAUGGUCAUGUCAAAGAAAAAUUCUUUGAAAUUGUCGACUAUCCUGCACAUUGGGAAGCCAGAAGAACUCCAAGAAGAGGUCACAGAGCAUUAGUUGAAAAACGUGAUGUUGCAGAAGGUUCAACAUCAGGGCAUGCUUUACAUGGCACUCGCAAACAAAUACCCAGUUCCUCCUCUCGGUAACAUGAGCGGUAAGGUACAUGCAACUCAUACAUGGAUACUUGAUAGUGGUGCAUCUUAUCACAUGACUUAUUUACCAUCUAUUUUGCAUAAUAUUUAGAAACUUCCAAAGUCUUUCCAAAUCAUUACUCCCACUGGAACAUCCAGCCUUGUUGAUUGCAUAGAUGUAUUUUGUUUCCCUAAUUUCAUACUACAUAAUGUGCUUAUGGUUCCUUCAUUCAACUGCAACUUAAUUUCCAUUCAUAGAUUGAGUCGUGAUCUAUCUUAUACGGUAACUUAUGACCAAAAUUGUUGCAUAAUCCAGGACCCUCUAACAAAGAAGAAGAUUGGAUUCGGUAGCAUUUAUGAAGGUGUCUAUUUGUUGACAAAGUCAUCUCAACAUGGAUUCUUAGGGGCAGCUAAGAAAUACUUAACUACUUUGUGGUACACUAGAAUGGGACACCAUUCUCCUCAAGCUUUACAACAAAUUUCGCAUCACCUUAAAUGUACUUUUGACUCACAUAAAUCAGUCUGUUGUGAUAUAUGUCAUAAAGCAAAACAAUGUAGAAACUCAUUUCCUUCUAGUAAUAAUAAAGCUACUGCAACUUUUGAUUUGAUCCAUUGUGAUCUUUGGGGUAAAUACAAUACUGCUACACAUAAUGGAGCACAAUAUUUUCUCACAAUUAUUGAUGAUUACACUAUAUACCUAAUGAAAUAAAAAACUGAAACACUGCAUCACUUGACUACUUUCUAUAAUCUGAUCAAGUGAUAAUUCAAUAAAACUAUCAAGAAAAUCCGCAGCGACAAUGGUACAAAAUUUGUUAACUCCAAAUUCUUAAAUUUCAUUCACCAAGAGGGCAUAAUUCAUGAAACUUCUUGUGUUUAUGCCCCACAAAAAAAUGGACGCGUAGAACGUAAAUAUAGACAUAUAUUGAAUAUAGCGUGAGCAUUACAUUUUCAAGCUAACCUUCCACUACACUUUUGGGGUGACUGCAUUUUGACUGCAACAUACUUAAUCAAUCGUACCCCUACUGUUGCUAAUAAAGGUCUCACUCCCUAUGAGCUUCUUUGCGAAAAGGCACCCAAUAUGAUCAUCUACGCAAUUUUGGAUGUUUAUGCUACAUGAAGAAUAUCUCCAAACAACUAGACAAAUUUGAUCCACGAGCUGACAAAUGUUUAUUCCUUGGAUAUCCACAAGGACAAAAAGGCUGGAAAGUUUAUAAUCUUCAAACUCAUACUUUCCAUAUAUCACAAGACAUCUUAUUCUAUGAGGAUACUUAUCCCUUCCUUCAAGCAUCAAACCCAUCUUCCACCAACCUGUUCACAAUUCUGCAAAAUACGAUAGUGAUGAAGAACCACAAAUUAAUUUGGUUCCAUCUCUUGCAGAUAUUCCUCCUAUCAGUUCACAAGAACUUAACAAUGCAUCGAUAAAUCCUGACACUCCUUCUGUUGACAAUUUGCACCAGGACCAUGCAAAUCACUCACCAGAAUCAUCUAGUAACACUCAUGUAAAAGAUGAUCAUAAUCCAACCAACCCAAUUUCAGCUUCGCAAAUUUCAUCCAAUGAGCAUGAUGCGACUGAGGAGGAGCAGAAUGAGGACCAUAAUCAUGCUGCAAUAGAAUUACCACCAAGAAUACAACAACCAUCACAACACCUCAAAGAAUUCUAUUGCUACAAUGUGCAUCCUAAUAUCAAAUGUCCUAUUUCAGAUUUUGUCCAAUAUGACAACUUCUCCCAGAAUCACAAAGCUUAUCUUGCAGCAAUUAGUAACACUGAAGAACCUUCAUCAUACAUUCAGGCAAGUAAACUGCAAGUGUGGAGAGAUGUCAUGGCUCAAUAACUUCAAGCAUUGGCAGGCAAUCAAACAUGGGAACUGACCACUCUUCCACCUAACAAAAAAUUAAUAGACUGCCGAUGGGUGUACAAGAUUAAGCACAAAGUUAUGGGAGAAAUUGAGAAGCAUAAAACUUGUUUGGUUGCAAAAGGAUUUACUCAAACUGAAGGAGAGGACAUCCAUGAAACCUUUGAACCCGUUGCAAAAAUGACAAUCGUUUGAUGCUUACUAACUGUUGCAGCCACCAAACAAUGGAUCCUCCAUCAAAUGGAUGUUAGCAAUCCUUUCCUUCAUGGAAAUUUAGAUGAAGAUGUCUAUAUGAAAUCUUCAGAAGGCACAAAACUACACAUCCUAAUAUGGUGUGCCAGUUGAAGAAGUCAUUGUACGGGUUACGCCAAGCCUCUCAAAACUGGUAUUCCAAAUUAUCAAAAGCUUUGAUUGACUAUGGUUUCCAGGAGAGCCAUGUUGAUCACAGCCUCUUCACGUACGCCAAACCAUCCAUUUUCAUAGAUGUCGUCGUUUACGUUGAUGACUUAAUCAUUGCUGGAAACCAUGAAGAAGCUUGUGCUAAAUUCAAGCACCACUUAAGUCAAUGUUUUCAUAUGAAAGAUCUUGGAAAACUUAAGUACUUCCUCGGUAUCGAACUAGCACACGUCCAAGAAGGUUUGUUUAUUUGUCGACGAAAAUAUACAUUUGAUAUUCUCAUUGAAUGUGGCAUGCUUGGUUCCAAGCCUUCUUCAUUCCCCAUGGAGGCCAAUCACAAACUUGCCUUGGCUAAUGGAUCACCCUACUCUGAUCCGUUAAAAUAUAGACAACUCAUUGGUCGUCUCACUUACCUCACAGUCACAAGGCCAGAAUUAACAUACUUUGUCCAUGUGCUAAGCUAAUUCAUGCAAACACCCCUCCAAGAUCAUUAGGACGCAACCAUGAGAGUCCUUUGAUACCUUAAAUCCUCCCUAGGUGAAGGCAUCGUCUUACCUAAAAAUAAUGACCUCCAACUAGUUGUCUUUUGUGAUUCGAAUUGGGUAUCAUAUCCCAUAACAUGAAAAUCUACAUCAGGAUAUUUGUUGAAACUUGGAAACGCCCCCAUUUCAUAAAAAACAAAGAAACAAGUGAUUAUCUCUUGCUCCUUUAGUGAAGCUGAAUAUAGAGCCAUGACACAUGCUACAAGUGAAAUUAUUUGGCUUCGCAACUUAUUGCAUACUCUUCAAGUCCCUUGCACACAUCCUACUCCCUUAUAUUGUGAUAAUCAAGCAGUCAUUCAUUUAGCCGCCAAUCCUAUCUUUCACGAAAGAACUAAACACAUUGAAGUCGAUUUCCAUUUCAUCAGAGAUCGUAUCCAAUCAGGCACCAUCAGUACGACUCAUGUUUCAACUCAGCACCAAUAAGCUGACAUAUUCACCAAAUCUUUAGGAACUAAGAUUUUCCAUGACUUGUUGUCCAAGUUAGGAGUUCAUAAUCCUCAAUAUCCAACUUGAGGGGGAGUAUUAGAGAUAAGGUUUAUCAUAACCACUUUUAUAGACUAUUAUUUAGGGUGUUAUUUCUUUUCCUCAUUUAUCUCUUAUGUUAGUCAGUUUCUUACUAUUUCUUAGGUCCAAUAGCUUAUAUAAACAAGCAAUUGUAACGUUUAUUUCAUGAGUAAUAUAGAUGAAUAAAUCUCUAUAGUUAAUCUUCAAUAAUAAUAAAAGAAGUGAAACUACUUUAAAAUAUUAGUUAGGAUUAAUUAAAAGUUAAUAGAAAAGUUAGUUAAAAUAACUAACUCUUCACACCAUAUAUACAUAUUAACCAAUCUACUUGGUUAGGGGUGGACAAAAAACCUGAAAAAUCAUUUAAAUUCACAAAAACCAAAUUUAAUAUUGGUUAAAUGGGCGGGUCGGGUCGGUCUGUGGGUAAUUAGGUUGUCUAAAUCGGUUUCAAAUAGAUUAAAACAGAUGGGUGCGGAUUCAAAUCUUAGACCCAAUGGUAGCCAAAGCCAUUCGGAAAUGCAUACAUAUUCAUUACUCACUUUAUCUCAUAAUAAGUGUUUUAUUUGAGUUCUACGUGAUUCUUAAGAAAAUGAUUAAAUAUAUUUAUUUUAAUGAUAAAAUUAAUAUUAUUUAUUAAAAUAUUCUUAUUUAAUAUAAUUAGUAAAAUAAUUAAAAAGCAUGAUAAAUAAAGAUGUAAUAAUAAAAAAAAUUAAUAAAUAUUAUAUUCAUAUUCUAAAAAAAUAUUUAUUUUAAUAUAUAAAAAAUAAUAUAAAUAAAACACUUUUUUAUAAGACGGAAAAAUACUUUCAUAAUUAGAUGUCCAUAAAUUCUCAAUAUUCAAGAAAUGAUAAAUUAUUGGAGUAUUUACUUCUCAGAAUCAAUCACCAUGCUUUUUCUUUAUAUAACAGUUUUACGGUGACCAUUCCCAUCCGCUAAUAUAUUUAUUUUUUAAUAAGUAAUAAUUUAAUUGUAUUGGAUAGGAUAGUUUAGCUGAUACUUUUAUCUUUAAAUAAUAUAAUAAUUAAUGUAUAUAAAACAUUUAUGAGAAGUAAUCAAUUUAAAAUGGAUAUUUAAUGAUAAUGUUAGUAAUAAUAAUAUCGUUAAUAAUAAUAAAAACUUAAAUCAAAAUAAAUAAUGGAAUACUUUCUUAGAAAAACUCUUUCAAUUGUCAACACACCUUCACUACUUUAUUUAUGAGGAUUGCUAUUCUAACUCAAAAACUUUUACACCAUAUAAAAUACAAUCAGACAUGUGUUCAUUUGUAUUUGAAAAAGUAAAAAAUAAUUAUUUUAAAUAUAACAAAAAGAAUCAAACGGAAUGAAAGUAAGUGUAAAAAUAUCAUUCCUUCUUAUUUUAUUCCUCUCUAUAUCUCUAUUCAUUUCCCCUCUCACCUUCUUCAUGUUACUUUCUCAGAUUUCGUGUAAUAAUAUAUUUAUGAAAUGUUACUAAAAAAUAAUAAAAAAGUUAACUUGUGUUAGUAAAUGAAACAUGAAAGUAGUACAUACCACACGUCUUUGAGAACUUUGUCGUGUUGCAUGAGAAAGAAGGAAAUCAUGGAGGCACCAUCUUCAUCUUCAUCUUCAUUAUUAUUUUCGACAAAGUAUUUAGCUAAAGGGUGAACACCAUACAAUCUUUCUUCGUUACAAUCUCCAUCAACUUGUUGAACGGAGCAUGUCAGAAUUUUAUAGCUAGAUAAAAGACGCAACAAUCUGUCCAACAUAGAAGGUGCUUCUGGAUUUUUUAUACCAGGAAUUUGAGAAGCAAUUUGAGAAGAUGAAAGGUAUGCAUUAGGACCAGAUUUGGCUAUAAUUUCAAUGAUGCCAAGUUCCAAAGCUGUUUUCAGAACCAUUGGAACAGAAGAAGCAAAUGAUAGUUCCAAAGCGAAAAGGAAAGCUUCUUCAUCUGAUACUUUCUCCAUUUUCUCAAUUACUCCUAUAUGC
rnacentral:lncRNA from 1 species